rnacentral:rRNA from 1 species
GUGUCAGCAGCCGCGGUAAUACAUAGAUGGCAAGCGUUAUCCGGAUUUAUUGGGCGUAAAGGGUGCUCAGCUGGUUUAUUAAGUCUGUAGUUAAAUUUCGAGGCUCAACUUCGAACUGCUAUGGAAACUGGUAGACUUGAGUACAGGAGAGGGUAGUGGAAUUCCAUGUGAAGCGGUAAAAUGCGUAGAUAUAUGGAGGAACACCAGUGGCGAAGGCGGCUACCUGGCCUGUAACUGACGGUCAAGCACGAAAGCGUGGGGAGCAAAUAGGAUUAGAUACCCUAGUAGUCCACGCCGUAAACGAUGAAUACUAAGUGUUGGAGAAAUUCAGUGCUGUAGUUAACGCAAUAAGUAUUCCGCCUGGGGAGUAUGCGCGCAAGCGUAAA